rnacentral:tRNA from 1 species
GCCAGGGUGGCUCGGUUGGUUGAGCUCCUGACUUUGGCUCAGGUCAUGGUCUCUCAGUGUGUGGGUUCUAACCCCAUGUCAGGCU